rnacentral:rRNA from 1 species
AGAUGGCGACCGGCGCACGGGUGAGUAACACGUAUCCAACCUGCCGAUAACUCGGGGAUAGCCUUUCGAAAGAAGGAUUAAUACCCGAUGGCAUAGUUCUUCCGCAUGGUAGAACUAUUAAAGAAUUUCGGUCAUCGAUGAGGAUGCGUUCCAUUAGGUUGUUGGCGGGGUAACGGCCCACCAAGCCUUCGAUGGAUAGGGGUUCUGAGAGGAAGGUCCCCCACAUUGGAACUGAGACACGGUCCAAACUCCUACGGGAGGCAGCAUG